rnacentral:rRNA from 1 species
AUUGAACGCUGGCGGCAUGCUUUACACAUGCAAGUCGGACGGCAGCACAGAGAAGCUUGCUUCUUGGGUGGCGAGUGGCGAACGGGUGAGUAAUAUAUCGGAACGUACCGAGUAAUGGGGGAUAACUAACCGAAGAAUAGCUAAUAACCCAUAAUUUCUGAGGAGGGAAGGAGGGGGCCUUUGGGCCCUUCGUUAUUUGAGCGGCCGAUAUCUGAUUAGCUAGUUGGUGGGGUAAAGGCCUACCAAGGCGACGAUCAGUAGCGGGUCUGAGAGGAUGAUCCGCCACACUGGGACUGAGACACGGCCCAGACUCCUACGGGAGGCAGCAGUGGGGAAUUUUGGACAAGGGGCGCAAGCCUGAUCCAGCCAUGCCGCGUGUCUGAAGAAGGCCUUCGGGUUGUAAAGGACUUUUGUCAGGGAAGAAAAGGCUGUUGCUAAUAUCGACAGCUGAUGACGGUACCUGAAGAAUAAGCACCGGCUAACUACGG